rnacentral:rRNA from 1 species
GUGCCAGCCGCUGCGGUAAUACGGAGGGUGCAAGCGUUAAUCGGAAUUACUGGGCGUAAAGCGCACGCAGGCGGUUGAUUAAGUUAGAUGUGAAAUCCCCGGGCUUAACCUGGGAACUGCAUUUAAAACUGGUCAGCUAGAGUCUUGUAGAGGGGGGGUAGAAUUCCACGUGUAGCGGUGAAAUGCGUAGAGAUGUGGAGGGAUACCGGUGGCGAAGGCGGCCCCCUGGACAAAGACUGACGCUCAGGUGCGAAAGCGUGGGGAGCAAACAGGAUUAGAUACCCUGGUAGUCCACGCUGUAAACGAUGUCGAUUUGGAGGUUGUGCCCUUGAGGCGUGCUUCCGGAGCUAACGCGUUAAGUCGACCGCCUGGGGAGUACGGCCGCAAGGUUAAACUCAAAUGAAUUGACGGGGCCCGCACAAGCGGUGGAGCAUGUGGUUUAAUUCGAUGCAACGCGAAGACCUUACUACUCUUGACAUCCAGAGAAUUGGCAGAGAUGCCUUAGUGCCUUCGGGAACUCUGAGAC